rnacentral:rRNA from 1 species
AUUGAACGCUGGCGGCAGGCCUAACACAUGCAAGUCGAGCGAGCGGCGGACGGGUGAGAAAUGUCUGGGAAACAGCCUGAUGGAGGGGGAUAAAUCCUGGAAACGGUAUCUAAAACCGCAUACCACCAGAUAUGCCCAGAUGGGAUAAGCUAGUAGGUGGGGUAACGGCUCACCUAGGCGACGAUCCCUAGCUGGUCUGAGAGGAUGUCCCGCCACACUGGAACUGAGACACGGUCCAGACUCCUACGGGAGGCAGCAGGGGGGAAUAUUGCACAAUGGGCGCAAGCCUGAUGCAGCCAUGCCGCGUGUGUGAAGAAGGCCUUCGGGUUGUAAAGCACUUUCAGCGGGGAGGCGUUACCCGCAGAAGAAGCACCGGCUAACUCCGUGCCAGCAGCCGCGGUAAUAC